UACGUAGGGUGCAAGCGUUGUCCGGAAUUAUUGGGCGUAAAGAGCUCGUAGGCGGUUUGUCGCGUCUGCUGUGAAAACUCAGGGCUUAACCCUGAGCUUGCAGUGGGUACGGGCAGACUAGAGUGCGGUAGGGGAGACUGGAAUUCCUGGUGUAGCGGUGAAAUGCGCAGAUAUCAGGAGGAACACCGGUGGCGAAGGCGGGUCUCUGGGCCGAUAUUGACGCUGAGGAGCGAAAGCGUGGGGAGCGAACAGG
rnacentral:rRNA from 1 species